AGUGAACGCUGGCGGCAGGCCUAAUACAUGCAAGUCGAACGGCAGCGCAGCAGAGCUUGCUCUGUGGGUGGCGAGUGGCGGACGGGUGAGGAAUACAUGGGAAUCUGCCCAGUCGUGGGGGAUAACGUAGGGAAACUUACGCUAAUACCGCAUGCGCCCUUCGGGGGAAAGCCGGGGACCUUCGGGCCUGGCGCGAUUGGAUGAGCCCAUGUCGGAUUAGCUAGUUGGCGGGGUAAUGGCCCACCAAGGCGACGAUCCGUAGCUGGUCUGAGAGGAUGAUCAGCCACACUGGAACUGAGACACGGUCCAGACUCCUACGGGAGGCAGCAGUAGGGAAUAUUGGACAAUGGGCGCAAGCCUGAUCCAGCCAUGCCGCGUGAGUGAAGAAGGCCCUCGGGUUGUAAAGCUCUUUUGUCCGGAAGAAAAGCGCCGGGUUAAUACCCUGGUGUCCUGACGGUACCGGAAGAAUAAGCACCGGCUAACUUCGUGCCAGCACG
rnacentral:rRNA from 1 species